UGCAGGAAUAAGCAUCGGCUAACUCCAUGCCAGCAGCCGCGGUAAUACGGAGGAUGCAAGCGUUAUCCGGAUUCAUUGGGUUUAAAGGGUGCGCAGGCUGUAAAGCAAGUCAGUGGUGAAAGCCCUGGGCUUAACUCAGGGAUUGCCAUUGAAACUGUUUUACUAGAGUGUAGUAGAGGACGGCGGAAUGAGUUGUGUAGCGGUGAAAUGCAUAGAUAUAACUCAGAACACCUAUUGCGUAGGCAGCUGUCUAUACUACAACUGACGCUGAGGCACGAAAGCGUGGGGAGCGAACAGGAUUAGAUACCCUGGUAGUCCACGCUGUAAACGAUGAUCACUCGUUGUUGGCUACUUAGUAGUCAGUGACCAAGGGAAACCGAUAAGUGAUCCACCUGGGGAGUACGUCGGCAACGAUGAAACUCAAAGGAAUUGACGGGGGCCCGCACAAGCGGAGGAACAUGUGGUUUAAUUCGAUGAUACGCGAGGAACCUUACCUGGGCUUAAAUGCUGGCUGCAUUGGAGGGAAACCUUCAUUUCCUACGGGACCGCCAGCAAGGUGCUGCAUGGUUGUCGUCAGCUCGUGCCGUGAGGUGUCGGGUUAAGUCCCACAACGAGCGCAACCCCUAUCGCUAGUUGCCAGCAUGUAAUGGUGGGGACUCUAGCGAGACUGCCGGUGUAAACCGGAGGAAGGUGGGGAUGACGUCAAAUCAGCACGGCCCUUACGUCCAGGGCUACACACGUGUUACAAUGGCCGGUACAAAGAGCAGCCACCUGGCGACAGGGCGCUAAUCUCUAAAACGCGGUCUCAGUUCGGAUCGAAGUCUGCAAUUCGACUUCGUGAAGGUGGAUUCGCUAG
rnacentral:rRNA from 1 species